CCUUCCGUUGAAUGGGGAUAACUAGCCGAAAGGUUAGCUAAUACCGCAUACGAUCUUUUGAAGGCAUCUUUAAAAAGAUGAAAGGAGCAAUCCGUUCAACGACGGGACCGCGUCCCAUUAGCUAGAUGGGUGGGGGUAAUGGCCUACCCAUGGCAACGAUGGGUAGCUGGUUUGAGAGAGCGACCAGCCACACUGGGACUGAGAGACGGCCCAG
rnacentral:rRNA from 1 species